rnacentral:lncRNA from 1 species
ACAGACCUUGCUAUUCGAAAGUCUUCUUAAAUUAUAUUUUUCAUUUCUUCUCGUCAUUUUCCAAUAUUCGUCCAUUCUGGUGGAACCGAGGAACGAGAGAAGCAUUUGAUAAGUGUGGACAAUAGGCGUGUGGCGCUCCAGGACCGCGUUGUAUCAAUCUUUUCGGCUCUGCGGUGCAGUGAGGUGAUGUGCAGCGACCAGACCCGUCCCGUACCCACAGCAUGUCCAAACAGAUUAGGGGUCAGGGACGACUGAAGCAAGACCUCUGCAAUUAUAUUCCUAACAGCAAUUUCCAACCAAAAAUAUAACCUCUAAAUCCCAGACUAACUCAACGAAUCUAAAACUGUUGACUUGUGAGUAAAUAAAGUGUUCAGGAAUAAUUAUCAGUACAACCAUGUCAAAUGAAAUGCUCCUGUGGGCAUAAAAAGCGAACAUAAUCCAGCAGCUUCAUUAUUGACCAACAACUCAGCAUAAACAUUUUUUCUAGACUUUCCAACUCUGCGGAAGUCUGGCAAGAGAAAUUCGAUUGCGGUUAUAGAUCUCGUAGUCCCAUCACUGGAACAGCUGUUAUUUUUCCCCUAAACCCGAUAGUCAAACACAGACACGGCGACCACUUAGGCCUCGCAUCCCAGACCAAGGAUUAACAGUCUUUUAUAUUCAAAUUUAACUAUACCAGACGACUAAAUCAGAAUAAGCAUUCAUUUAUAAAAUUGCUUCCACAAAUUUGAUUAUUAAUGAAUCAGAUAGGCUAGCCUCUAUCUGACACAUUAAGUCUUAACAAUUUGUUUACAAGAUGGAUGAAAAAUUUGCUACUUAGCGCGAUGAUGACUCACCACCAUGAUGCAAUUUAUCUAUUUGUUUCCCUAUGGUAAGCGAUAUGCUUAUUAAAAUCAACAUUUAAAAUGCAUAUAGGCCUAAUUUGAUAUCUUAUGACAAAAAAAAAAAAAAAAGAUGGCCUUGAUGCAAGUAGCUAAACAUCAAACAAAAACCAUAAGAAAAUCUACCUCAUUAUCUCAUUAGCGACAGCCAACCAAAGAGCAGUGACAAGAAAUUAUUAUAUAAUUCCCGCUGGGCCCGAAAUGAAACGAGCAGUCUUUGAGAGUGGUCGCUCUAGUUUAGAUUAAUGGUUCCCAGCGCUUAUUCUGCAGUGCGGGUGAAAGGGCCAGGAUCACUAAUGAUUAUAAUAUAAUGUGUGGUGAUAACCACUCCCUUUGAGAUAUUACCCUGUGCAGUGGGCAAUGCUCAUGGGACGAGCUGCGGAGCUGAAAACUCGGCAGAUAGCUACUUCAUGGGACGAGCUGCGGAGCUGAAACUCGGCAGAUAGCUACUAAACAGGAGCAGAUUUCUGCACUGAAGCUCCAAGAGCAUGCACGAGUACAGUCCUGUCUGCUGCUGAUAUCAACAGCCAGGGGCUGAAUUAAAACGUUCUAUUU